UACGAACUGUGCGAACGUUAUUCGGAAUCACUGGGCUUACAGGGUGCGUAGGCGGCUUGCUAAGUAGGGUGUGAAAUCCCCCGGCUCAACCGGGGAAUGGCGCCCUAAACUGGCGAGCUAGAGUGAGAUAGGGGUGUGUGGAACUUCCGGUGGAGCGGUGAAAUGUGUUGAUAUCGGAAGGAACGCCGGUGGCGAAAGCGACGACACUGGAUCUUGUCUGACGCUGAGGCACGAAAGCCAGGGGAGCGAACGGG
rnacentral:rRNA from 1 species